rnacentral:ncRNA from 1 species
AAUAACCUUCAGGGCAGGGUGUGAUUCCCUACCGGCGGUAAAGCCCGCGAGCGUAAUGCAUGAUUCGGUGAAAUUCCGAAGCCGACAGUAUAGUCUGGAUGAAAGAAGGAAAAU